rnacentral:misc_RNA from 1 species
GUCAAAAUUCCACGCGUUAUUAACAUAAAGAUAUCAAAAGCCUAGGAGGGCGUACUCAAACAUAUUCGGUAGAUGAAAAAUUCUAUGCACUAAAAAAUUCCAUUAAUGGAGUCGAUGAGAUUACGAGGAUGAAACAAAAAGAAGAGCAAUGACCGUACACUGAACUAAACCAAAGGAAAGGCAUGAAGAUCGAAGAAGGAAGAGAGAGUCAAGAGAAGAGACCACGAGGCUUUUGGAGAUUUGUUAAACUGCCCUGGUUUGUCAGCUAUUGGUAUAGGCUAUAGGCUAUAGGCCAGUCAUCAACUCCUGUCAGCUACAGCCUUCUGCCUCUUCAAUCAAGCUAGCACGAAAUGUUCUGUGCAAAUUCUUAGUUUAGAGCCAAUUAUUACAAAUAUAAAAUACAUAAUCAAAUUUAUUUAUUUUAUAUGUCGAAAUACUCGUAUUGUGUGCCAAUGUGUGUAUCAGAAAAGUAAAACAAGAUAAUUGAGGAAUGAUAAUAUGUAGGUUCUCUUCCUACUUCUUACGCAAGGGAUGAUCAUGAUCAUGUGUUUGAUGGGUUCACUGCCCUUGAUGGGUCACAUAUGGUAGCAAGCUUACAAUAAUACCAAACAAAUGACCUAAAGGGUGGGGGAGAGGCAGAGAUAAUUAGAGAGCAUACAACAGUACAGCAGAGCAGUAAGAACAGGCAUGCAAGAGGGAAUAAAAGCUGCUAUUUUUGUUUUUCCUACUUGUUUUCUUCUUUGGCUUUCUUUACACAAAUAAUAUAAUUCAUCAGAAAGAAAAUAACAUUUUGCCAUUUUCCUUCCAUACAUAAAAUAAAAGCUAAACAGUCACCUACCAAUUUUCAUUAGGUUUUUUUUUUCCCAAAUCAGAUUAAUUCCCCCUUUUCCUUUCUACACCAAUACACAAAAUUGAAAAGGAGAGAAACCCUAGAUUCGUACAUCUUUUUCCAGAAAAUCCUAGAAAAUAAAGAAGAUAGAAAAUGAAGACCUUGUUAUUUAUGGUCCCUAAUCAACGAGCAACUUCAGUCUGCAAAGAUGCAUUGAGCUCCAGUUGCUCAGCCUCCCACUUAGCCUGAGCAACAACUCCAUCAUGCAGAGGCACGUAGUCCUCGAGUUUCUGAACUAGCUCUUUGACAUUUGGGGCAGAGACAAUAAUGCUACGUUGAGAAGGCUUGAUGAAGCCAUCGUCCACAGCCUUAUCUAUGAAGGUGAGCAGGAGGUUGUAGUAGCCGUCCACAUUAAGCAAGCCCACAGGCUUGUCGUGGAUGCCAAGCUGGGCCCAUGUAAUGACUUCCAAUAAUUCCUCCAAAGUUCCAUAUCCACCUGGUAAGGCAAUAAAACAGUCAGAAUGGCGGGCCAUCUCAGCUUUCCUUUGAUGCAUGUCGGCUACUGGUCUGACCUCUCCGACUGUUUCUCCAGUUAUCUGCUUUAUAAUAAAAGCAAAGCAUUACGUACAUCUAAUUUAUUAACCCAUAAAAAGAAAGAACCCAUACACUUAGAUAAUUCUAUUUUUGGAUAAUAUAUAUCCUUAGCUCAAGAAUUCCAGUGCCCAGAUGAAAUUUUCCGUUAAUUUACAUACCUCUUUGCUCAUCAGAGUUUUGGGGAUGAUUCUAAUACAAAAAAGAGAGAAACAAAAGAAGGGGGAAAAUCAAUUACUUCUGCAGAUGUUCAAAUAAAAUAUACCAAAUUUGAGCAAGAAACUAGUCAAUCUGCUGGACGAGAAAACUUGCUUUUUUUUUUUUUGGUACACUUACCCCAGUACAUGUCCUCCACCACGAUGGACCUCCUGAGACACUAAGCCCAUCAACCCAACACUUCCUCCUCCAUAGACGAGAUCUAAUCUCCUUGACACCAGUUCUUGUCCCAGUUCAAGAGCAGCCUCCCUGUAACAAUCUCUCUUGCCAGUACUGCUUCCACAAAAGACACAGACUCUUUUGAACCUUGACUUCACUGCUCUUUUCUCCUCCAUGUGGCUGUAUCGCUCCUUGCUCGUGGUAGCUGCUUUUGCUCUUUUAUAUUUGAAAAACCGGAAUUUUUUUUUAAUUUAUUUUUCACCCAAAUAAGGAACCAAUACCAAAAUAUGCAGGAGGCGCAAUUUUCCUAUAUAUAGAAGAAGGAGAUCCCCAAAUAAAAAGUAGGAUAAUUUUGUCACCCGUGGAGUCCUGUUGCGCCACGUGGACUCAUAACCCAAGAGUAUUGCUUUCCAAAAUUCGCCGACACGAUACGCGUUCC